CAGCGCAAUGCAUAGCGCGUUGGACUUCUAAUCCAAAUGUCGUGGUUCGAAUCCUACCUGGUAUGG